rnacentral:lncRNA from 1 species
AUGCACUUAAAUUCAUUCACAUAUUUUAUUUAUGUAUUUUUAUUUUUUUCUGUCAGAUCUUCCAAGUUAUUGAAACAGGAGGCAUGCAGUAGAUUUUCAAUGGAGCCGAAUGAAUUUUUCAAUGUGCCGAGUCUGCCUGGUGGCUCACCCGGGGUGUUACCACAUUCUAGGAAAUUGUCACCAGCCAGUCACCCGUUACAUGCAGAAUCCAAUUCAUCUUUGCAGGCCCAGUUGGCGAGUAUCUCUCAGGCCUUAAUUAAUAAAACUCCUAUCACAAUGCACCAAUUACUCUCUUUAAGAAGCUGCUAUGAGCAAACUGAUACCCAAAACAAACAUUUGAUAGAUACUCUGUGCGUGGAACUACAACAGUCACAUCUCACAGCCAAAAAAUUAGGAAAAUUAGAUCCUAAACUUCAAGUUUUUAUCCUCAAUGUGAGUCUUAGUUUAAUUUCUUUAUCUUUCAGUAAUCAGGAAGCUAUCAGCACUUGUGAAAAGUUGAAAUAUUUUUGAACAGUGUGUGCAGUGUAAUAUAUAAACAAGAUUUGGUAUUUAUUACACCUGCCUUUUGAUUAUUAUGUCUUACACCAGAAAAAAUCCAUGGAAAAGACUUUUUAGCUAGUUCCUUAUUGGACUAAUACUAUAAUAAUCUUCCAACAAUUUUCUGUUCGUAUCCUCCUCUUUAAUCAGCAGAAACAGCUUUUUUCUCCCUUUACUGACUCUCCCCUAAUUUAUUUUGAGGAGCUUUACUGUUACUAAAAUGAGGCAGAAAUCGUACAUAUUUCUUCAUUGCAAAAUGUAGUCUAAAUAUCCAGGAAAAGAAGCUAGUUUGCAUGGACUGAUUUUAAUUCAGUUGUGUAGACGCAGGAAUGCAAUCGGAUUAUCAGUCAAUUCUUUUAAAUUUAGGUUCAUCAGACUCAUCAUUUUAGUUGAUUAUUUACACUUUACAACUCUUUUUUUUGUUUGCCUAUUUUAAAUAUUUUGAUGAGAAUUUUUCUUCUUUAAUACUUUGCCGUUUGUUUUAUUGUGUCCUUGAACCAAUCAAAAUACAUUAAUUGAUGGGUUAUGUGAAUAUUCUGAAAACUUAGCUUCCAUUAGAGGGAGUGAAAAUUAAGUAGUUAAGAAAAAUUAGGAUGGGGGAGGGGCCAAGUUUGAAAACAUGUCAGUUGUCCUAAUUUUUCAGUGCCAUAUUUUAACGCUGUAUAUUCCCGCAAGUUAGUCAUAGAAACAGGGGAGAGGUAAAAGGUAGACAAUAUUUAUUCUCUUUUUAGUAUGAUGAUCUUUGUCUCCAAUUUUGAAAAUAGUGGUGUUUUGAAAUGCUCAUGUCAAAUCUAGCCUGUGGAAGCAGUUAUUUGAGAGCCUCUCGGAAGUUAAACUUUCGAUAAUUUUCAGCACCAUCAAAAAAUGUAUACGACUCAGAAACUCAGUGAAAUUCUGUCACUGACAAAAGAAAUGCACUUGUAUGCAAUCUAAGGCUUUUUGUCAAAGUUACAUGGAUGAAAUUUGCUUUCUUUCACAGCAAAGAGUUCACAGACUACUCUCUGCUCUCAUCAAAUAGAUCCUAUAAUUUGCUUUUAUCAAUUAUUUCGACUUUAAUCUGGAUCACAAAUAAUUGAAGCCUAACAUGUAAAUCAGCCUAUGAAUUUUUUUCCUUGCACCAAAGUGAUGAUUUUCGACUUGACCGUGUAAAUCAUCCCCUUGAUAUUCCAUCUGAGCGUUUUUCCAUCUUUACAUAUUAUGCUCUUAUUCAGGAGAAGAGUGAAAUUCUACAAUGUUUAAAAACAUAAUGCGAAAAUAUCUUUCAUUGUUUUAAAAUUAUUACGUUUAUUUCUCAAGGUCUAGACUAUGGUGGUGAUUCGAACAGUCAAGCAGUGUACACCAGUAAUAUGGCAAUGCGGCAAAGUCUUUCAAAUUUAGCUACAGACAAAGUUCGCUCCGCACUGAGUUCUUUGUUGAAGAAUGCUAAUUUACCUGCUCUCGUUCCAAAUGGCAAUGCAGGUAAGUUGUGAGCUUUUCGAGGUUGUGUUCUUUUCAGGAUGGCAAUUUUGUUUUGAGUUUUUGAGACCUAUGUUUUUCCUUUUUCCCUCUUUCCAUUUUCAAAUAUAUUUCAAAUGUAUUUUUUUUCCCCCUUUUUUUUUUCAUACCUUGACUAGCUGGACAAGACUUCAAACAAAUUAGUCACUCGAAAAGUAGUGUGUAAAAAAAAAACAAAGCUUAACAGAGAAAUGGUUGUAUCCUGUUAUUUAGCUGAAGCAUGAUUUUAAGCAAGCUGAAAUCAAGCUGCCCGAACUGAUACAAUUGGUAAAUAAAUCAGCUCUCAAUUAAAGAGCUGUUGCUCUUGGUGUUUCCGAAUGUAAUGAACUACUGUCCAGCAUUUCAUCCUCCAAAGACAAUUGGAGUAACAUCAGAACCGUUUUUAAAAUAGUUCGGAAUUUUUUCUCUGUCAAUUUUAUGCGAAGGAAUUUCAAAAUUACCUUUCAUUCUGUCACCCAAUGCCUAUCUUGAAGUAUCUUGCAACUGUCAAGCUCCUCAAUUAAAUUAUGUCAUUUUAAGUUCAAGUCGUAAUUUCGAUAAUUAAAGGGUAAUGAUAUUAAUGGUCUGCAAGGUAACAGUUUUCAAACCAACAUAAGUCUUUUCAUUGGGAUAAAGAGAAAUUAAUUGAUUUUUUUUUUUUUUUUUUUUUUUUUUUCGGGGUUCAGGAGACAAAUAAUUAUAAUAUUCUUCACUUCUAUUUUGGAUUCUUACUCGAGCAUUUUGACUGCUAAACUAAACAGUGCAGGUGCAAUUUUUUCAUUAUCAAUGCUAAAAGAUAAUAAGUUAGGUAUCAUUUAAUGAUGAUUUGAAUUUUGUUUGUGAUUUUGUCUUUCAACUAAAGAUUUAAAUUUUUCAAUGGCUUAAUAUUCAGCUUCUUGAAGUGAUACUUUAUGUCAUGUUAAAAAUUUUUUAAUGUAACCUCUCUUAUCAAUAACUUUAUAGAUGAGAAGUUAUGUAGGAAACUUUCCCCCUUUUUAUCUCUCGCAGCUAUGCAUUUCAGGAAGACCAGUCGUUGACUUUGAAGUAUUCCCAUAUCGACUCAUUGCGGCGACUGGUCUCUCUAUUUCUGUAUUCUAUUUUUCUUUUAUUUCUUUCUAUCUCUGAAUUGAGGCACUUUUGCUGUUGCAAUAAUUAUUUUUUUGCUGAAUAGUGUAAGGAAUUGCUCUAAUUAAACUUUUUACCUUCAUUGGAAAAGAAAAGUCCGUGGUCACAUUACAACAGAUAGUAUGGGGAAGGGGUUUUACAAGAACUGUUUCUUUUUACAACAGAAGGAGAAACAAGAAGAAAUAUUCAAGAGAAAAAUAGGAAAGGAAAGAUAACCCAUAAUGAAAGAAUAAGGUAUGUUUCAUUAAGCAAUUUAUGUGAGUGCCAUCGUUUCCAACGGACAUGUUUCGCUGUUAUCUCUUGCUUUGUUUCAUACAGUUUCCUAGGAUGAUCUGGGCUCCUUUUCCUGCAUUAUGCUUUCUGCCAAAGCAAAUGGUUCAUGGGUAUUUAAAUUCAAUAACACUGAAAAUAAUUGUUUUUACAUGAGAUGUGGGUUAUUAAAGCUCAAACAUUAUACACCUACUGCAUUUGUAUGGUGCUAACUAUGAAUUAUUUUUUAUUUCUUUUCGUCAUUGAAUAUGGAUAGUAAUUUUUUGAGA